AUUGAACGCUGGCGGCAGGCCUAACACAUGCAAGUCGAACGGUAACAGGAAACAGCUUGCUGUUUCGCUGACGAGUGGCGGACGGGUGAGUAAUGUCCGGGAAACUGCCUGAUGGAGGGGGAUAACUACUGGAAACGGUAGCUAAUACCGCAUAACGUCGCAAGACCAAAGAGGGGGACCUUCGGGCCUCUUGCCAUCGGAUGUGCCCAGAUGGGAUUAGCUAGUAGGUGGGGUAACGGCUCACCUAGGCGACGAUCCCUAGCUGGUCUGAGAGGAUGACCAGCCACACUGGAACUGAGACACGGUCCAGACUCCUACGGGAGGCAGCAGUGGGGAAUAUUGCACAAUGGGCGCAAGCCUGAUGCAGCCAUGCCGCGUGUAUGAAGAAGGCCUUCGGGUUGUAAAGUACUUUCAGCGGGGAGGAAGGGAGUAAAGUUAAUACCUUUACUCAUUGACGUUACCCGCAGAAGAAGCACCGGCUAACUCCGUG
rnacentral:rRNA from 1 species